AUUGAACGCUGGCGGAAUGCUUUACACAUGCAAGUCGAACGGUAACAGGUCUUCGGAUGCUGACGAGUGGCGAACGGGUGAGUAAUAUAUCGGAACGUGCCCAGUCGUGGGGGAUAACGUAGCGAAAGUUACGCUAAUACCGCAUACGAUCUAUGGAUGAAAGCGGGGGAUCGCAAGACCUCGCGCGAUUGGAGCGGCCGAUAUCAGAUUAGGUAGUUGGUGGGGUAAAGGCUCACCAAGCCAACGAUCUGUAGCUGGUCUGAGAGGACGACCAGCCACACUGGAACGGAGACACGGUCCAGACUCCUACGGGAGGCAGCAGUGGGGAAUUUUGGACAAUGGACGCAAGUCUGAUCCAGCCAUUCCGCGUGCAGGAUGAAGGCCCUCGGGUUGUAAACUGCUUUUGUACGGAACGAAAAGGUCUCUCCUAAUACGAGGGGCUCAUGACGGUACCGUAAGAAUAAGCACCGGCUAACUACGUGCCAGCCGCCGCCGUAAAAC
rnacentral:rRNA from 1 species